CAUUCAUUGUUUACCUGAAUUCAAGUCUAACUGGGCGACGUUUGCUGUUCUUGCUAAGUCUGGCCGUCCUCUGCCGAGUCACGUUUCAGCCACGCUGGGCUGAGAGACCCCAGCCUUGGUGCCAUCUCGGUUCUCAACAACCAGACCUUCAGAACGUGCUGUGUCUUUUAAAACGCAUCGUAAAGAACUAAAACUCCCUUCCCCAAAGCCCCCCAAGCUGGAGGACUCGGUAGAAAACAUCGCAGAAAUCAGCGCGACAGAUCACGCGUGGACACCACCCAGAAAGUUCUCUGGCACACCCGACGCCCUCACCAAAGACAUGCAACUCGCAAACUAGGAAAUUCGUCGCUGCCCCCCUCACUCCAUGUAAGGACACCUCAAGCCAACACCCAGAAAUCUUCUCAACUAAACGUUCUCCAGACCCGAAAAACCGAGUUGAUGGUUUGUUCAAACCUUCAGGAAACCUGCCUCCCAGCCAACGGCAGAAGGAAAAGAU